rnacentral:rRNA from 1 species
UACGGGGGGGGCAAGCGUUGUUCGGAAUUACUGGGCGUAAAGGCUCGUAGGCGGCCAACUAAGUCAGACGUGAAAUCCCUCGGCUUAACCGGGGAACUGCAUCUGAUACUGGAUGGCUUGAGAUUGGGAGAGGGAUGCGGAAUUCCAGGUGUAGCGGUGAAAUGCGUAGAUAUCUGGAGGAACACCGGUGGCGAAGGCGGCAUCCUGGACCAACACUGACGCUGAGGAGCGAAAGCCAGGGGAGCAAACGGG